UUAAUCCUGCCCUGUGCGUGGAUUUUCUUGAGCCCAUAUAAACCCACAUCAUUUAUAAGGGAUGCCAUAUUCCCGCGUGGAUUGCAGGCCUCCCGGCUCCCCCACCGAGGUGAGUUGGAAGUUGGAAGCGUCGAAGCACGGGAGAGGCGACCCACCUGCCGGAGACGUGCAGGUUCUAUCUGGGCUCCCACGGCAACGGCGGGAGAGGC
rnacentral:other from 1 species